rnacentral:rRNA from 1 species
UACAGAGGUCUCAAGCGUUGUUCGGAUUCAUUGGGCGUAAAGGGUGUGUAGGUGGCGCGCUAAGUCGGGUGUGAAAUUUCGGAGCUUAACUACGAAACUGCAUUCGAUACUGGCGUGCUUGAGGACUGGAGAGGAGACUGGAAUUCAUGGUGUAGCAGUGAAAUGCGUAGAGAUCAUGAGGAAGACCAGUGGCGAAGGCGGGUCUCUGGACAGUUCCUGACACUGAGACACGAAGGCCAGGGGAGCAAACGGG